GACGAACCGUCCUAACGUUGUUCGGAAUCACUGGGCUUAAAGGGCGCGUAGGCGGGCUGCCGCGUCCGGGGUGAAAGCCUCCCGCUCAACGGGAGAACGGCCUCGGAUACGGGCGGCCUCGAGGGGGGUAGGGGCGUGCGGAACUGUGGGUGGAGCGGUGAAAUGCGUUGAUAUCCACAGGAACUCCGGUGGCGAAGGCGGCACGCUGGACCCCAUCUGACGCUGAGGCGCGAAAGCCAGGGGAGCAAACGGG
rnacentral:rRNA from 1 species